rnacentral:lncRNA from 1 species
GUGACUUUCAAGUGGGGCAAAAAGUGUUACUGUAUAACUCCAGGCUUAAGCUGUUUCCAGGAAAAUUGAGAUCGAGAUGGUCUGGUCCAUAUACCAUUACACAAGUGUUUCCACAUGGGGCAAUUGAGAUCACUCACGACAGCAAGGGAACAUUCAAAGUUAAUGGACAGCGUUUGAAGCACUAUUGGGGCGGUGAUUUCUCAAAGGACAAGUCUACCGUCCAUCUUGGAUCACCAGAAUGACACAAUAUGGUAAAGUCGAGCUAUCGACUAUAACUUAGCGCUGAGUGGGAGGCAACCCACUGUAUCCUUAUUUUAUUUUAUUGCAUUGCACUAGUUUAGGAAUUUGUUUGAGUUUAAUUUGUUUCUUAGGUCAUCGAUCAUCUUUUGCAUGAUAGCCUAGGCACUACACGUUUAAUGUUGCAUGAAUGAGUGCUAAAUGACGUGUUUGGGUGUUCAAGUGUGUGUCACGCAUUCCGAUGUGCGGAGAUAUUCAUUUUGGUUAAGCUUUCAGAAUGCGGGACAACAGUUAAAAAAAAAAAAAAAUUUGCAAACCGGUUUGGUCUAUGCGACCGCAUAGACCAAAGGUCUAUGCGAUCGCAUAGACCUAACCCGAAAACCAUUGGGAGGUUUUGGGUUGCACUAUGCGACCGCAUAGUGUUGUGGUCACGGGUUUUAACCCGUGACCACAUCCUCCCUCCCCAAUUUUUUUUUUCUUUUCUCCCCCCCUUCUCAUUCUCACUCAAACACACGCACAUCACUCACUCCUUCACUUGCACUCACUUCACUUACACACAUCUCACUCUUCAUUUGCACCCACUUCACAAAUCUAGCACCUAAAGUUGGAUUGGACUCUACAUUGAAGAUUAUACCACACCUAAAUUAACAAGAAUUGGAACUACAAGGUAUGUUUCUCUAAUGCCUAAUUUCGAGUUUUAUUUAACGAUUAUCUUUCAAUGUGUGGAUUUAGUUAGGAUGUAUUGUGGUAGAUUGGUGUACUAUUGUGAAUUGGGGAACUUUCAUGGUAGUGUAGGUAAGAAAUAGGAAGUAAUUCACAUUGCACACCAAGUGUUCGACGAAAUGCCACAUUAACGUAUGUUUUGAUUUUUUGGGCUUUUCACUUAUGUAAUAGUUUACAUCGUUAUUGUAUAGCGUUUUUGUCGAAAAAUCAUGUGAUAUUUCAAUAGAAAACAUUACCUUAACAUUUGAAGUAACAAAGGCAUUUCAUGGUUCAACAUAUCCACUCACGUCACUACCUUCGUCCCUAUGUUUUCUAAUGCAAACGACCUCCGAUUAGGGUGAAAUUUGGAUAUAUGCUAGAUAUCAUUAUGUACUUUCACAUGUCCAAAACUUGCUCGGGAAAAUUUGGGUAUUUCUCGGUGAUGCCCGGGGCCAAACUUGGUCAUUUGAUCAUGGGUAAAAAUUUUGAGUUUUCCAUACUUGUGCAAUGCUAGAGUUAUAUUGAUGAUUCAUGAUAUGAAACAUUGCAUAAACACACGUAAAUGUGCAUAUUGAAGAAAGUUUGGGGGAUUAUGAAUUCAAAGUUUAUUCAUGCCAAAUUUUUUUACCAAGUAAGUGAUAUUAUGUAUUUCCUUUUGCAGGAUGCCUCCUAAAAGAACUUCAAAGGGAAAAGAGAAAGUCGGCUCCUCAUCUGGAACGGCCCGAACAAGAGAACCCGAAGGGGGUGUUCGAAGAUUCUUAUCACCAGAUACGGCAGCCCGAUACGCCAACGUUGUGCGUGAUUGGGCAAUCAUUCCCGAGAGGCCAGUUAAGUUAGAAGACUUCCCCAACUUUGAAUUGACAUAUCUUAUUCACAAUUGCGGUUGGGAAAAGGUUAUAGAAAGACCUCAUCCGGUGUAUGAGAAUCUAGCAAAGGAAUUUUAUGCAAAUUUCAACACAGAAAUUGACACCCCCGGAUCGGAGCACUUACAUCAGACUUGGGUUAGGGGCAAAUGGAUUAUGUUUUCACCGGAGGUAAUUCAUGAUUACUAUCAGUUAUCCUGGAAUAAUGUAGUCCCUAUUCCCGAGGACUUCAACUGGCGUGAGGUUGCAGAAAUAUUGUUGGGACGUGAAAAUGCUUGGCCUCUACCUACAGCAGACUGGCAUCAGAUAGAUCUCACCCCAUCCAUAGCAAUUUUAUGGUUAUUCAUGUGCCAUAACAUCGAGCCUAUAUCCCACAGAACAACAUUUACAAAUCCAAGGGCCGGAUUCAUAUACCAUUUGGUUAGAGGGAA